rnacentral:rRNA from 1 species
AGUGAACGCUGGCAGUAGGCCUAACACAUGCAAGUCGAACGGCAGCACAGUAAGAGCUUGCUCUUACGGGUGGCGAGUGGCGGACGGGUGAGGAAUACAUCGGAAUCUACUUUUUCGUGGGGGACAACGUAGGGAAACUUACGCUAAUACCGCAUACGACCUACGGGUGAAAGCAGAGGAUCUUCGGACCUUGCGCGACUGAAUGAGCCGAUGUCGGAUUAGCUAGUUGGCGGGGUAAAGGCCCACCAAGGCGACGAUCCGUAGCUGGUCUGAGAGGAUGAUCAGCCACACUGGAACUGAGACACGGUCCAGACUCCUACGGGAGGCAGCAGUGGGGAAUAUUGGGCAAUGGGCGCAAGCCUGAUCCAGCCAUACCGCGUGAGUGAAGAAGGCCUUCGGGUUGUAAAGCCCUUUUGUUGGGAAAGAAAAGCAGCAGGUUAAUACCCCGCUGUUCUGACGGUACCCAAAGAAUAAGCACCGGCUAACUUCGUG